UGUGACCUCAAAUCAGGUAGGACUACCCGCUGAACUUAAGCAUAUCAAUAAGCGGAGGAAAAGAAACUAACAAGGAUUCCCCUAGUAACUGCGAGUGAAGCGGGAAAAGCUCAAAUUUAAAAUCUGGCGGUCUUUUGGUCGUCCGAGUUGUA
rnacentral:rRNA from 1 species